rnacentral:rRNA from 1 species
UCGUAGGCGGCCUGUUGCGUCUGCUGUGAAAUCCCGGGGCUUAACCCCGGGCCUGCAGUGGAUACGGGCAGGCUGGAGGCAGGCAGGGGAGAACGGAAUUCCCGGUGUAGCGGUGAAAUGCGCAGAUAUCGGGAGGAACACCGGUGGCGAAGGCGGUUCUCUGGGCCUGUACUGACGCUGAGGAGCGAAAGCGUGGGGAGCGAACAGGAUUAGAUACCCUGGUAGUCCACGCCGUAAACGUUGGGCGCUAGGUGUGGGUCCCUUCCACGGGGUCUGUGCCGCAGCUAACGCAUUAAGCGCCCCGCCUGGGGAGUACGGCCGCAAGGCUAAAACUCAAAGAAAUUGACGGGGGCCCGCACAAGCGGCGGAGCAUGUUGCUUAAUUCGACGCAACGCGAAGAACCUUACCAAGGUUUGACAUGGCCGGAAAACUCAUGGAGACAUGGGGUCCUUCGGGGCCGGUCACAGGUGGUGCAUGGCUGUCGUCAGCUCGUGUCGUGAGAUGUUGGGUUAAGUCCCGCAACGAGCGCAACCCUCGUCCAAUGUU